UACGGAGGGUGCAAGCGUUGCUCGGAAUUAUUGGGCGUAAAGGGUAGGUAGGUGGUCUUAUUUGUCUAGGGUGAAAGCCUUGAGCUUAACUCGAGAAGUGCCCUAGAAACGGUAAGACUAGAGUCCUGGAGAGGGUCGUGGAAUUCCCGGUGUAGCGGUGAAAUGCGUAGAGAUCGGGAGGAACACCGGUGGCGAAGGCGGCAUCCUGGACCGACACUGACGCUGAGGCGCGAAAGCCAGGGGAGCAAACGGG
rnacentral:rRNA from 1 species